rnacentral:misc_RNA from 1 species
GUUUUAAAAUUAUCACGUCGCCCUUCGGCAAACGGAAAAAUCAGAUAAAAAUUUGAAAAAGCAAAAGGCUGGAAAUAUUCACUGAAAGAGGCAUUUUCACCACAUGCUCAGGUGGAAGAGGGGUGGACAGACCUUUUUACCACUUGCCGAGGUGGAGCAAUGUUUAACCACACGCUGAGGGUGGACUGGCGCCCUCAUUUUGAGGGCACAUAGGGGGCCGUUUCAAGCACAUACCCAGGUGCAAAGACAGAAAGUUGAGUUUGCCCACAUUUGUUGUUUCGAACGUGGUGAUUAACCAGGUGCGAAUACGUUUGAUUUUUAAUGAUCCAACCGCAGGUUCACCUACGGUUA